rnacentral:rRNA from 1 species
AGAGUUUGAUCCUGGCUCAGAACGAACGCUGGCGGCAGGCCUAAUACAUGCAAGUCGAGCGCGCCCUUCGGGGUGAGCGGCGGACGGGUGAGUAACGCGUGGGAAUAUGCCCUUCUCUAAGGAAUAGCCUCGGGAAACUGAGAGUAAUACCUUAUACGCCCUACGGGGGAAAGAUUUAUCGGAGAAGGAUUAGCCCGCGUUAGAUUAGGUAGUUGGUGGGGUAAUGGCCUACCAAGCCUACGAUCUAUAGCUGGUUUGAGAGGAUGAUCAGCCACACUGGGACUGAGACACGGCCCAGACUCCUACGGGAGGCAGCAGUGGGGAAUAUUGCACAAUGGGCGAAAGCCUGAUGCAGCCAUGCCGCGUGUGUGAAGAAGGCUCUAGGGUUGUAAAGCACUUUCAGUGGGGAGGAAAAGUUCAAAACUAAUAUUUUUGAACCUUGACGUUACCUGCAGAAGAAGCACCGGCAAACUCCGUGCCAGCAGCCGCGGUAAUACGGAGGGUGCGAGCGUUAAUCGGAAUUACUGGGCGUAAAGCGCGCGUAGGCGGUUUGUUAAGUCAGCUGUGAAAGCCCCGGGCUCAACCUGGGAACUGCAGUUGAUACUGGCCGACUAGAGUACGAGAGAGGGAGGUAGAAUUCCAUGUGUAGCGGUGAAAUGCGUAGAUAUAUGGAGGAAUACCAGUGGCGAAGGCGGCCUCCUGGCUCGAUACUGACGCUGAGGUGCGAAAGCGUGGGGAUCAAACAGGAUUAGAUACCCUGGUAGUCCACGCCGUAAACGAUGUCUACUAGCCGU